rnacentral:rRNA from 1 species
AUUGAACGCUGGCGGCAUGCUUUACACAUGCAAGUCGAACGGUAACAGGCCUUCGGGUGCUGACGAGUGGCGAACGGGCGAGUGAUGCAUCGGAACGUGCCCAGAGGUGGGGGAUAACGCAGCGAAAGCUGUGCUAAUACCGCAUGUGAUCUGAGGAUGAAAGCGGGGGACCAGGCAGCAAUGUUUGGCCUCGCGCCUUUGGAGCGGCCGAUGUCAGAUUAGGUAGUUGGUGGGGUAAAGGCCUACCAAGCCGACGAUCUGUAGCUGGUCUGAGAGGACGACCAGCCACACUGGGACUGAGACACGGCCCAGACUCCUACGGGAGGCAGCAGUGGGGAAUUUUGGACAAUGGGCGCAAGCCUGAUCCAGCAAUGCCGCGUGCGGGAAGAAGGCCUUCGGGUUGUAAACCGCUUUUGUACGGAACGAAAAGGCUCUGGCUAAUACCUGGGGCUGAUGACGGUACCGUAAGAAUAAGCACCGGCUAACUACGUG